UGACUUUAAGUGAACACCGUGCAAACCUG
rnacentral:piRNA from 1 species